rnacentral:rRNA from 1 species
AACGCUGGCGGCGUGCCUAAUACAUGCAAGUCGAGCGAACAGACGAGGAGCUUGCUCCUCUGACGUUAGCGGCGGACGGGUGAGUAACACGUGGAUAACCUACCUAUAAGACUGGGAUAACUUCGGGAAACCGGGGCUAAUACCGGAUAAUAUAUUGAACCGCAUGGUUCAAUAGUGAAAGACGGUUUUGCUGUCACUUAUAGAUGGAUCCGCGCCGCAUUAGCUAGUUGGUAAGGUAACGGCUUACCAAGGCAACGAUGCGUAGCCGACCUGAGAGGGUGAUCGGCCACACUGGAACUGAGACACGGUCCAGACUCCUACGGGAGGCAGCAGUAGGGAAUCUUCCGCAAUGGGCGAAAGCCUGACGGAGCAACGCCGCGUGAGUGAUGAAGGUCUUCGGAUCGUAAAACUCUGUUAUUAGGGAAGAACAAAUGUGUAAGUAACUAUGCACGUCUUGACGGUACCUAAUCAGAAAGCCACGGCUAACUACGUG